UUUCCCAAGGGGGACUAUGAAGUAUGUUCUGUAACUGGGCGCCUAGAACAUACCGAGUCAGUGGUGCAACCGACCCGGUCC
rnacentral:ncRNA from 2 species